ACACAUGCAAGUCGAACGAAGUAGUAAUACUUAGUGGCAGACGGGUGAGUAACAUGUGGGUAUCUACCCUUUGGCCUGGAAUAACACGAGGAAACUUGUGCUAAUACCGGAUAAGUCUUUACGGAGAAAGCUUUAUGCACCAUUGGAUGAGCCCGCACUUGAUUAGUUUGUUGGUAGGGUAAUGGCUCACCAAGGCAACGAUCCCUAGCUGGUUUGAGAGGAUGAUCAGCCACACUGGAACUGAGACACGGUCCAGACUCCUACGGGAGGCAGCAGUGGGGAAUAUUGCACAAUGGGCGAAAGCCUGAUGCAGCCAUGCCGCGUGUGUGAAGAGGGCCUUCGGGUUGUAAAGCACUUUCAGUCAGGAGGAAAGGGUGUGAGUUAAUACCUCACAUCUGUGACGUUACUGACAGAAGAAGCACCGGCUAACUCCGUGCCAGCAGCCGCGGUAAUACGGAGGGUGCGAGCGUUAAUCGGAAUUACUGGGCGUAAAGCGUACGCAGGCGGUUUGUUAAGCGAGAUGUGAAAGCCCCGGGCUCAACCUGGGAACUGCAUUUCGAACUGGCAAACUAGAGUGUGAUAGAGGGUGGUAGAAUUUCAGGUGUAGCGGUGAAAUGCGUAGAGAUCUGAAGGAAUACCGAUGGCGAAGG
rnacentral:rRNA from 1 species